rnacentral:lncRNA from 1 species
CUAUUUGAUAUUUCAUGGCCCUGUUUAGUAUGAAAGUGUUAGUAAAAGUCAGGUAGCACCUCGAACCCCGUCCCGGCGUCGGAUGCAGGCGAGGGGUGUUACAUUUAGUGGUAUCAGAGCAUGGUUUAGUCGAUUCUCGGGCUAACCUAGCGUAAGAGAGUCUAGCUAUACAUGUCAUAGUAUUACUCGUGAUAGUGUGAUAUCUCUCGGCCCUAACAAAACUGUUGAUUAAGACAGGAAUGAGUUUCAACCGAGCAAAUCUUGAUAGAGAUAAGAGUAAAGUUGAGAUUAUUGAAUCAUGCUUAUGAUAUGCUGAAAAUUGGGAAAGGUAUGAAAAGAAAUCCAUGAUUUUUUUUAUAUGAACUAGUUUUCAUUAUGUGAUACUCUUGAGAUAAAGAGUGUGAAAUAGUGGAGUAAAACACAGUUAAGUUGUGAAAAAACGCUUUUAUGCAUGUUAGUAUUCAUACGAUGUUAAAUGUUCAACUUGAUUUGGCCAAGUGUUUAGGAAAAGAAAGAAAUUUGCUUGAAAUGACAGAAUGUAUGUAUGAAUGCUUUUAUUGCAUGAUUAAUAAUCAAUAUAUACAUGAGGUUGACAUUUAUGUCUAGAUUGAUGAAGUCAAGAUGCAGUAAUGUUAUGCUUUAUAAUCUCAGUUACAGAAUCAUAAAUGUCACAAUAGCAUGAAAGUUGUAAUGAAAGAUCAAAUUGGGUAGAACGCAGGGAAUGAGUACGAUCGUUCACUAAUGAAUUGAUGGAAAAGACCAUGGUUGGACCAUGGCAAUACAUGAGAUUUGUGUGCCAGUGUAAGACCAUGUAUGGGACAUGGCAUCGGCAUUGAGACGAGGGCUAGUGUAAGACAUGUCUGGGACAUGCAUCAGCCACAGUAUGAGAGCCAGAGUAAGACAUGUCUGGGACAUGCAUCGGCCUUGAGAUGUUAGCCAAUGUCAGACAUGUCUGGGACAUGCGUCGGCUACGAGAUGUGCUAAUGUAAGACAUGUCUGGGACAUGCGUCAGCACGGUUACAUGUGUCAGUGUAAGACCUGUCUGGGACACGGUAUCGAUACAGAUAGAUGAGAGCUAGUACAAGACCAUAGUUGAACUAUGGCAUCAAGUAAACGAUGUACUCAAAACCAUAAGACGUUCUCCAAUUUGAUAAAUAUUGGCAAGUGAUUAAGACUAAAUAUGGGAAUUUGAUAAAACAUUAAGGGUAAUUUGAAAAAAUGAAAUGAAAGUUUGAGUUAUGAUAAAUUCAUUUAUGUUUAGCUAAUAUUCGCACGAAAUAAAGUUGCAUGUAUUACUGAGAUAUGUGAAAAUGUGUUCAUAACAAGUUGGAAAUUUGAAAUGUUUGAAUCAAUAUGCGUAAAGCUAUAUUGUUGUUGAAUAUGUAUUUGCUUGAGAGUCAAAAGUUUAGAGGCUUUACAAUCUUCGCCCCCUUACCAGAAUAGAGUUAUAUGAUGAGAUUCUCGAGAGAUAUGUUGCAUAAGCUUGCAAAAGUUAAACUAAAAAGUAUAAUAAUGGAAUAGUAUGGGAUUAGUGAAGACAGAAUUAGUUAGAGGAAUAAUGUCGGACUUGCACUGAUGUUUGAGUAUGUCGGAUUCAAUCAAAUAAAAGUGAUGGCUAUCUUUCUCUUCUGAGUAUUCUAUGUUUUCCUCAAUUCUGGGGAAUACGUAUGGUUAUCCCUUUCGAAUGGAAAUUCUAUCAUACGAGGAUGCUAGUGACUGUGAUAUUAGAUGAAAAGCUCUAUUGGUCCAGUUAGUUAUAAUUGACAUUUUCCCCAUCUCUUCAGAUUUCUAUUCUGAUAUAUUGGAAUGAAGUUGAUAGUAAAAAAAAAAAUCUAUGUGAGAUUAUUCUGAUGUUCUAUUGAUUAUGGUUUAUAUAUGCGAGAAUUAUAUUAUCUCUAUUAUGAGAAAUUCUAAAGCGUACAGACAGUAGUUUCCUUCUGGUUUUCUCUAAGGGAUUUUUCGGAUCAUAUUUAUUAUUUUCUUCUGGAUUAUAUUCUCGGAUUUCUGGUGUAGUCUUUGUAUCUUGGAAUUUCUUAUAUUGGCUUUUCUCUCGUUCUUGUUUCGAGAAUUAUCAAGCUUGGCUUAUCUUUACGAGUAAUCUUUGACUUGCGAUAUUAGAAUCUGUUAUGAUUAAGCUUUUGGCUCGACCAUAGAAGUGUGGGGAUUUCAGUGUCGAGAUUUCUUUAAAACUUCUGGGGUAAAGAAUGGUUAUUCUGCAAAGGUAAAUCUGAGUUAUGUGCAUUUAAGUUUAUUCUCUGGUUCGAGAAUACCGUUACGUGUUCUUUGGUAAGUAGUCGUACAGUCAGAAAUGAUGGGGUUUUAUUCUUGAAAGUAUGUUAUGGAAACAUAUUAGUUGGAUUUCUCUUGUUCGAGAGAUGUUAUAAGUAUAGUUAUCCUGAUUAAUAAAAAGACCACAUCUAUGAAGUUGGAAUCAUUUGAUUCAUGUUAGUAAAGUUUCUAAACAGUUGAUGAUCAGAGUAUAGAAAUGUGGCUAUAAGUGGUAAAUUAAACAAGUACAACAUGAUUCGACUUUUAAUUUGGAAUUGCAGGGAGGAUUUGAUUUCUGGUUUCUAUUACUAUUAAUUCAGAGUAAGAUUUCAGUACUGAGAAACUCUGGGUAUACAGAGAAUUGAGUAUAGAGUUCACAGCAGUAUCUUGUUUCUUUGUUCAAAGGAUGUCGAAUUGUCUAUAGGGUAAAGCCGAAUAUCAAAUGUAUUCGAGAUUAUUAUUGUCAGUGAUGACAGUGGGAAGAAAAUGAGAAAGGACUGUUAUGAAUUUCGUAUCGGGAUGUCUCUCAUUUCCAGGAAAAAGGAGAGAUGCAAGUUGAAUUGUGAAAGAUUGAUGAUGGAAGUCUGCAUGAUUAUUUUAGUAUGUACAGAUAUAUUAUUCAACAGAUGUGACUGAGUUGUAUGUUUCUGAGUUUAUAGUUCCAAGAAUGUCAGUCUCCAGUGAUUCAAAUUGAGCUCCGAAGUUUAUACCUCAUCUAUGGAAAAGCUAUAGGAAAUCUUGAGUAUGAGCUUGUGCAGAGUUGUUUUGUAAGUUGUGAGAAAACGAUAUAAGUGACUCAUGAAAGUAGAGAACAACUUUUUCUGGUAAGAUUUUCGAGGACGAAAAUCCUUAAAGGGGGAAAAAAUGUAACAGCCCGAUUUUGGGCCUAGUCGGAACAGUGGUUUUGGGACCACUAUUCCGAGGCCAGAGAAAGUUAUUUUAGUAUUAUUUUAUGUGUUAUAAUAUGAUUUUAUAAGUGCAUGUUAAUUUUGGUAUAUUAAUUUUAGCGAUUUCUAGUCCAAUUUCAAAAAAGGACUAAAUCGCGUAAAAAGUAAAAGUUGUGUUUUAAUACCUAAAGGUGUUAAAUUGCCUUGUAUCUUAAAUUGGGGGUCUUUAAAGUGAAAUUAAGCCAUUGAAAGUGUGAUGGCCGGCCAUGGGAGACAAAAUAGUUGAAAAGUCAAAAUUGAACAAAAUAGUUUUAUUAUUAACAAAUAAAAAAAGAAAAAGAAAAAGCUAUCAUUUUUCUCUUCCCCUUCACCAAAAUAUGCAGCAAAGAAAGGGUUUUGAAGCUGGAAAAUUUCAACAACAUAUUUCCCUUGCUUGUAAGUGAUUUUAAUGUCUUUGCUUGAUGAUUUUUGUAUUUUUGGAACCCCUAAAGCAUAAGCUUUCAUAAGAGGGGAUUAUUUUGCAAAAUGAUAAAGAGUCUAGGGUUUUACCAUGAGAGUAAAUGUGUUGUUUUCUGUGUUUUUAUGGAAGAUUAUGAGUCCUAGUUGUCUAAUAAACAACUUUUGUGAAAGAAAUUGCAUGAAAAUACCUUAAAAAGGGGUAAAUUGCUAAGUUGUAAAAUGAGUUGUAAAUGUGUAAAAUAGUUGAAAUUAUGAGUUGCUAUAGUUAUGAAAAUGGUUCAUCUAGACUCAAGGAGUAAAGAAAUGUGAUAAAAAUUAAUUUACGAGCAUUGGGGCAAAAGUGCAAAUAUGCAAAAGUUUAGGGGUCAAAAUGAAAAUUUGUAAAAAUAUGAUUUUUAGACCCAUAUGAAUAUUGUGACUGAUUGGUAGGCUAAACGUGAUGUUAUAGAUGAUGAAAAUUGAGAUUUGGACCUAGAAUGGAAAGAAAUCGAUUUAUGGACGAGUAUGUCUUUUCACCUUUGUGGUAUCGAGGUAAGUUCAUGUGUAAAUAAUGUAGCAUAAUUUUUAUUUUUAAGUUAUUGAUGUUAAAUAUAUGAUAUGCUGAUUUUUAUCAUGAAAUAUAUGCUUUGUGGUUAUUUUCGAAUAAAAUGCAAGUUAUGUGUAUUAUCUGUUAAAUAUAAAGUGCUACCGAGUAUUGGUUUCGGUAUUUUACGGAAGAUGGCAAGGAUAUGUGUUCAAGGAAAAUCCCGUUUGAACCUUAGGAAUAGAUUAGGAUACAAGUGACAUGUCACUAGGAUGGUUGAGCAUCCGAACUCGUUGAGUUGAGUCCGAGUUCACUUAUAGAUGCGAAUGUUCGAACUCGUUGAGUUGAGUCUGAGUUCGUGAGAUGUAACUAGGCAUCUGAGCUCGUUGAGUUGAGUCCGAGUUCACUUAUGGAUGCGAACGCUCGAGCUCGUUGAGUUGAGUCCGAGUUCACUUAUGGGCGGGUUACAUGGUAGCUUGGCUACAUAUGUGGCACUUACGUGCAAACUUUCCAUGUAUCCGAAUUAUAUUCCGAUGUGUUCAACGGGUAAAAUUCUACUCAAAUGGAGGAAUACUCGAGAUGAAAGGGACGUAUUGGUAAAUGUUGUGAAAUGGAUACUUUGAACAGGUAUGUACUUAACCCUCGUGUUGAAAACUCGACAUAACAACAAUAUGGUAAGAUGGUAAAUGAAAAUGUGAUAUGAAUAUCUCGGUGAUGAUUAUACAAACGAUGUUGUAUUAAUUUUGUGAACAAUGAUCAUGAAUGAGUAAUUUAGCCUUGACAGAUUUGAAUUACUGCAGUAGUGUAACUUUGAAAAUACACUAAAAAUAGUGGAAAAUGAGUUAGAGGCAGAAUAAAAUAUGGGAUUAAAGCUCAAUGAGUCUAUUUUCACAUGAAAGAAACAGGGAAGAAAAAUAAUUCCAUAUUGUGUGAUAUUUGAAUUCUUGUGAAACAGGGUCUGAAUGAAUUCGAGAUCCCCUAUUCUAACUUUAUAAAUUCACCAAAAAUUGUACAAAAAUUAUUAAGAGUUAUACCUUACAUGCAUAGAUUCCUUAUUGAGUCUAUUUUUAUGGAAAAUAAACGGCAUGGUCGUUGGAAUUUUGUACAGGGAGAAAUUCAGUUUGUAGUGCACAGGGGUCAGAGUGGUCAUACCCUGAAACAGGGGAGACUUUAACUAAUAAACUGUACUAUUUGGCUUAACCAAAAAUUCUGGAAAUUUUAUGAAAGAAAGUAAAAUAAGUCUAGUUUCAGGGAAAAUUAACGGAACUUAAUUCGGAGUUUCGUAGCUCCAGAUAUAAAUAAUUUAGUGACUGUUGCUCAGGAAGACAACUUGUAGUGAACUUGAGAAUAUGUUGUAAACAUUGAUAAAACAAGUUAAUGAGUUGCUUAUUGUUUUCAUAUGAACUUACUAAGCGAAAGCUUACCCCCCUUCUUUCCCAUGGUUUUUAGAGUUUCCAAGUUAGCUCGGGUUGGAGGCUGUCAGAGAUAUUAUCACCCUAUCAAGUUAACGUUAUCGGAGUAAGUAAACUCAAGUGAUUCGAGUCUAUGGCAUGUAUAGGGUUUUAAUGUGAGUAUGUAAUAUUAUGAUCUAGCCAAAGGCAUUGGCUUGUUAUUAAGGUAGUAUUAGUUAUGUAAAUUGGCCUAUGUCGGCUAAUAUCGUUAUGGGCCCAUAUGAUUAUUCUUAUGCAUUUAUGUUAUUAUUUCUUGUGAUGUGGCUUACAACAUGUAUGCCUAGAGAUUGAAUUGAGAUUCAUUGAUGAGCUAGUAACUAAUGCAGGAUUAAGUGAUUGGUAAAUAGUUAAUAAUGCUUCAUGAAUGGUUUGUGAUGUAAUGAUAGUUAUGUCUAGUAUGUGGUAAUGAUAUGGGCAAAUUCUAUAAUAUUUAUUGCAUAAGAAAAUAACUUGAGCAUAACAUGUUUGUAGAUGUUUAAGAGCUCAUUUAUGUCACGUUGUAUGUUAUUGGAUAAGUAUGUAUCUAUGCAUAUGGUGUGAGAGUGAUAAAAGGCUUAAUAAUUAGCCUAUUUCUGGCCACACGGCCUGAGCACAUGGGCGUAUGAAGCCUUAACGCAAGAGAUUUUUUUAAGUUUUUCAUGAGUUCUCGAUUGGGUCCCGAACCACUCCAGAUGUAUGUUUUGGGCCUCGUAAGCCCGUAUAUGGGACAGAUUGUAUGUGAAAAGAAAAGUUUUUAACUAUUUGAUAUUUCAUGGCCCUGUUUAGUAUGAAAGUGUUAGUAAAAGUCAGGUAGCACCUCGAACCCCGUCCCGGCGUCGGAUGCAGGCGAGGGGUGUUACAAAAGAAGCUCGACCAGAUCUAAAAGGACUUGGUAAGUACUUUUCCCCCUUUCUUCUUUAUUUGAAAAGCAACUCAAAUCUCAUGUUAUUUUCUUAAAAAAAACAAGAAGAAAUUCAUAAAAUACAAAGACUUUCAACAUUACUUGGCCUCUCGCCCUCACAUCCGCAUAGCAGGAGUAUUUGGGGCUCUCAUCGGCUUUCAAUCGCGUAAAGAAAAUGAGCAAACUAAGAAAAUCAAUUUAGAACAGUAAAAGAAAAGCAAAAAAAAGUGAAAUCACCUCUAUUAAUUUUCUAUUGCUUUUCUUCUAUUCUUUGUGAGUGUGCACAAAUACAGUAUGCAUAGAGUGUGCGUAAUCUCUUCGUGAAAAAUUUGCAGGUAAAAUUAUCGGCUUUUAUAGCCAAACUUACAGAGAAAAAAUAAAAAAUAAAAAUAUAUUUUAUUGGCUGUCAUCUGUUGUAUUCUGUUAGCUUCUUUCUCGUGUAUUCUUUAUAGGAUCAUCCGUACGGAGGAGCGGGGAGAGGCAUGCAUGAAAGAAGCCGUGUGAGGAAACCCUUCGUGAGACCCAACCUCCUGGCACUGUUCUGGCAUGUUCCAGAAGCUUCUGGUGCUUAGCUGCUGGAAUUCUUUUUGAAUUUGGGCUAUACGGGCUAGGGGUUUAUGAAUUUGGGUAUUUGGGCUGGUAUAAAUUCUUUAUCUGGGCCUAAAAAAUUUGUAAAAGGACAUUGGUAUUUGGAAUUUUAUUUGUGUGUUUUUUUAUUUUUGGUUUUUUAAUUUCUAUGUUUUUAUUCUAAUGGGCCCGGGCGAAAUGGGCCUAUUACAAUGUAUAAAGUGAAAAUCCCUAAGGACUCUCAUUUUGUAAAUAUACACUUCUCAGCCAUUUAUGUAAUUCAAUCUGUA